UACGGAGGAUGCGAGCGUUAUCCGGAUUUAUUGGGUUUAAAGGGAGCGCAGACGGGAGAUUAAGUCAGUUGUGAAAGUUUGCGGCUCAACCGUAAAAUUGCAGUUGAUACUGGUUUCCUUGAGUGCAGUUGAGGCAUGCGGAAUUCGUGGUGUAGCGGUGAAAUGCUUAGAUAUCACGAAGAACCCCGAUUGCGAAGGCAGCUUGCUAAACUGUAACUGACGUUCAUGCUCGAAAGUGUGGGUAUCAAACAGG
rnacentral:rRNA from 1 species